rnacentral:sRNA from 1 species
AGUGCUAAAUUUACAUUACACAUAUUGUUAUUUCAACACCAAAAUGAUGUUAUAGUUGGAGAUGCUCUUAUACCUUUCACCAUCUUCUAGAUGAAGUUUUACAAAUCUUAACAUCUCUCGUAGAUUGUUAUUUCAACACCAAAAUGGUGUUAUAGUUGGAGAUGCUCUUAUACCGUUCACCAUCUUUUAGAUGAAGUUUUACAAAUCUUAUCAUUUUUUGUAGAAACAAAAAA